rnacentral:lncRNA from 1 species
GGAUAUCGAUUGGUCGGGAAGGCAGAUAUGUUCGUUCUGCUGUAGGCAAGCGCUGCUGUUAGCGAUGAAAAAUGUGAUUUUUAUAAAUAAAAGGAGUGUCAGUCUGUCAGUGAGUAAAUGGGGGAUGAUAGCUUCGCCGUGGUAUCGGAAUUAAUUGUCGUUCGCACCCAGAGCGCGGAACGAAGACGCCGAUCGACGGCGACAGGUGACAGGCGACAGGCGCUGGAGAACGCCCUGCGAGGAAACGCACGUUGCUACACCGGAAGAUUAUGCCUGCGAACAGAUAUAAUUACCGGGAUGUACUCGUCCGUCGAGAUUGCAUGCGGCGGCUCAGCUUUCAGUAGUCUCAAAA